UUCUAGAAAUUAAAUUACAGGCUGCCUAGAGGGAUUUUGAAGUGCUAAGCACUCUUCUUUCAGACCAAAUAAAAAGCACAAUUACAGCUCUUACAGUAGUUGUAUAUCUGAUAUUAACAUGGAUUCAUGAAGUAGCUUGGCUAGGUUUGGUCAGAAGCUAUCUCAUAUGAACUGAACAGUUAAUGAAUGGAAAAUGCCAAGACAAAGGCCAGAAGACAGGGAAUAAAACUAAUGGACAAAAGCUGCCCUAAACGGGAGCAGAAAAACAUUUCCAGAAAAAGAAACACAUAUAAUCUUAGAGGAAAACAGAGUUGUACCACAGGAUAUAUCAGUGUCAUAACCUAAAGAAAAUGGUCACAAAACUUCCCAGAAAGAAUGUAUCUUUUGAAAGAAUAAUCAAAGCAAAGCAAGAUUCUGGGGAACAUCUACUUACUAGAAG